UGCAUCACUGAUGAUAAUCUGGCUCCCUCUACCGAAAACCGUGACGAUAUUGCCACUGUUACCCAAAUUGUGUCUGAGAUGCA